rnacentral:rRNA from 1 species
CCUACGGGUGGCAGCAGUGGGGAAUCUUGCGCAAUGGGCGGAAGCCUGACGCAGCGACGCCGCGUGCGGGACGAAGGCCUUCGGGUCGUAAACCGCUUUCAGCAGGGACGAGGCCCUCACGGUGACGGUACCUGCAGAAGAAGCCCCGGCUAACUACGUGCCAGCAGCCGCGGUAAUACGUAGGGGGCGAGCGUUAUCCGGAUUCAUUGGGCGUAAAGCGCGCGUAGGCGGCCUGUUAGGUCGGGGGUCAAAUACCGGGGCUCAACCCCGGUCCGCCCCCGAUACCGGCAGGCUUGAGUCUGGUAGGGGAAGGCGGAAUUCCCAGUGUAGCGGUGGAAUGCGCAGAUAUUGGGAAGAACACCGGCAGCAUACCGGCGCCCGACUGACGCUGAGGCACGAAAGCGUGGGGAUCGAACAGGAUUAGAUACCCUUGUAGUC